rnacentral:rRNA from 1 species
ACGGGUGAGUAACGCGUGGGUAACCUGCCCUGUACAGGGGGAGUAACAAUCAGAAAUGACUGCUAAUACCGCAUAAGACCACAGCACCGCAUGGUGCAGGGGUAAAAACUACCGGUGGUACAGGAUGGACCCGCGUCUGAUUAGCUGGUUGGUGAGGUAACGGCUCACCAAGGCGACGAUCAGUAGCCGGCUUGAGAGAGUGAACGGCCACAUUGGGACUGAGACACGGCCCAAACUCCUACGGGAGGCAGCAUG